AUUGAACGCUGGCGGCAGGCCUAACACAUGCAAGUCGAACGGUAACAGGAAGAAGCUUGCUUCUUUGCUGACGAGUGGCGGACGGGUGAGUCAUGUCUGGGAAACUGCCUGAUGGAGGGGGAUAACUACUGGAAACGGUAGCUAAUACCGCAUAACGUCGCAAGACCAAAGAGGGGGACCUUCGGGCCUCUUGCCAUCGGAUGUGCCCAGAUGGGAUUAGCUAGUAGGUGGGGUAACGGCUCACCUAGGCGACGAUCCCUAGCUGGUCUGGGAGGAUGACCAGCCACACUGGAACUGAGACACGGUCCAGACUCCUACGGGAGGCAGCAGUGGGGAAUAUUGCACAAUGGGCGCAAGCCUGAUGCAGCCAUGCCGCGUGUAUGAAGAAGGCCUUCGGGUUGUAAAGUACUUUCAGCGGGGAGGAAGGGAGUAAAGUUAAUACCUUUGCUCAUUGACGUUACCCGCAGAAGAAGCACCGGCUAACUCCGUG
rnacentral:rRNA from 1 species